rnacentral:lncRNA from 1 species
GCUUAAAUUGACAUUUAAAACCAAAUUUUAAUAUUUUCAUAUAAAAAAAGAUCUUAACUGGUGGAAAGACCAUCAAUGGUUCUCUGAACAAUUGGUUUUUAAUUAUUUUUUUUUUCUUCCGCCUAAUUUUUUUCCUUCGCUGUUUUUUUGUUUCGCAAGAUGUCGCUUUGAUAUUUGGAAUAUGAUAUCGAACAGUUAAUACGCUUUUGAAACCAACUCUGCUUAACCGAAUACUUUCCCAUAUAAGAGUUAUCUCCCCGAACACUGUUUUUCUUGUUAUCUCUAAGGCUUCGCAACAGUAUAAGAAACCGACAAAUUUAUUUUUCCAAAUUGCUCGUUAUGUCCUCAGGAUGUUCUGUUUUAUUUUGACCGAAGCCGUAUCGAGAUUCCAUAUGAGAGUUAUUGCCCCUUUUGUAUUUGAAAUUUUGAAAUGUAUUUUAAACUGGAAAACCAUAAGUGAUAGAGACCUAGGGUGUUUUAAUUUGAGAUCCUUGGUCCAAAAAAAUGAAAAUUAGGUCAAGGUCAAAGGUCAAGGUCAUAUUCUAAAUUUAGAUUUUGGCUUAUUUUCACUCAUUUUCAUUAACCUUAUAAGAUAUCGACAAAUUAUUUUUACUAAAUUGUUAGUUGCGACAUGUCGUAACAUAAUAAUUUUGGUUGAAA